rnacentral:rRNA from 1 species
GACGAACGCUGGCGGCGUGCCUAAUACAUGCAAGUAGGACGCAGUUGCGAACGGGUGAGUAACGCGUAGGUAACUACCUAUUAGAGGGGGAUAACUAUUGGAAACGAUAGCUAAUACCGCAUACUAGUAGAUGGACCUGCGUUGUAUUAGCUAGUAGGUAGGGUAAUGGCCUAACUAGGCAACGAUACAUAGCCGACCUGGGAGGGGGAACGACCAAACGGGGACUGAGAACAGGCCCAGAAUCCGUCGGGGGGGAGCAGGUGGGAAUCUUCGGCAAUGGGGGGAACCCUGACCGAGCAAAGCCGGGGGAUUGAAGAAGGGUUUCGGAGGGUAAAGCUCUGUUGUUAAGGAAGCGGUACUUAACCAGAAAGGGACGGCUAACUUCGUGCCAGCCGCCGCGGUAAUUC